AUUUCUGCGCUCUGCCGUGGAGUUUCAGAAGACAAACGACCGGAGAUGAAACAAGCCGCGCAAACGCUUUCCAGCUUUGUUAGUUUUCUAUCCAACGUUUUACGUGAAUUUGUGAAUGAAAGCGGCUGAGGAAGAGGAGGCGGCGCAGGUUAAGUGGACGCUGCUUCCAGUGCACGGAUCGCCUGCUUUAAUACGCAAAAAGAAGACGCGUUUUCCCUCACAGAUCGAAGCGCUUUCUUCGGGCAGUCUUUUGCGCUGUUCUGGGGGGAGCUGCAAACUUUCUUCAUUUAAAAAAAUAAAUAUAAAGCUCAGAUUGCAUUCUUUCCCCCUUCAAACAUUUUGGAAGUGAUGUCAUCGGCCCGUGUUUUGGCUGCUGUUGUGCUGGAGCUCCAGAAUUGAGUCCGAGAAAUCAGGUGCAGGGAGCUGCGAGCGUGUGCCGCUUUCCUUCUGCUUUCACUUUCCCCCCAUCAUCUGACCUGAACCGCGCCGCCGUCUCUCCGGCGCAGCAGCCAUGAGCGAGCACGCUCCGCGGUACCCGGAGUCCAGCUCGCCGCCGCCGCGUCUUCAUCGUUCCAUCCCCGUCCAGGUGCUCUGCCUCCCGCAGUCAUUUCGCCCGUAGCGGAUCAGCAGUGACACCAACUCUGAUGCGUGCGCAUGCACUCCACGGAGUUUUAAUCCUUAUCUGUGGAAGGACAUUUUCGGCAGGAAAAGUUACGCACGGACUGCUUGGAAAACACUGGGCACGAACCUUUUGCUGGCUGUCGAAAAGUUUUUAUGAGCGGAAACGACGCAUAGGUGUGGGUCGCGUUUGAACUUCGCUUCACCUGUUCCUCAGACUCCGGAGGUUUAAGCUUCGCCCCGCCUCCUGCCCGUUACCGACCGUGCACCGCGACCAUCCGCUCACACCCCGCUGACCCCUUGCCGCAUGUUGACGGUGAAAAGAUGCAGUCCACCGGCGAUAGCGGGAAUAUCCGCGGACCCUGCAUUCAAACGGAUUAAACAAACCGGACAGACGUGAAGCUGUGACCCGGAGAGCCGUUUCGCAAUCGCGCACGGAGCCACACGGACGCGGAGGAAGCGAUGUGGGCCUUUCUCUCCACGGUGGCUGUCUUGUAUAUCCAGAUGAUGCUGGUCAUGUGCAAUCCUCUACAGGUGUUUGGAGUGGACGGGGUGAAUUUCAGCGUGCACGUAGAGAAUCAGACUCGUGCACGAGACGCCAUGAGCCGGCGACAUCAUCGCGUGUACCAGCUUUACAGCCGCACCAGUGGGAAACACGUCCAGGUGC